ensembl:lncRNA
AUGGGGGUUAUUUUUAAGGGGGGGGUGUUGUUUACAUGGGGGUUGUCCUCGAUCUCCCGCAGAGCUUUGAUCUCCCGCAGGGUCUGGGGGGGGACGCCAUCUUCAGGCCGACGCAAUGGAACCUUCUUCAGGGCGACCGUCUCCCCAGUCUUAAGGGGGGGCAGGAAGUGACGUCAUAAGGCAGGAAGUGAUGUCAUAAGACAAUAAGUGACGUCAUAGGGUGGUGGUGAUGUCAUACAGCCAUGACAUCACAUGGGGGUGUGACGUCAUACGACACAAGGUGACGUCACACAAGGGACCCCCCCCCCCCCCCCAUGUUAUCUCACCGCCAUUUACCCCCUUUAAUCCCCUUCCAUCCCAUAAUACUCCACCCAAACUCCCCCUUUUUACCCCAAAUUCCCUUUUCUUCCCUCAUUUCCUCCCUUUUUACCCCCAAUCCUUCUCUUUUUCACCCCAAAUCUCCUCUUUUCCGCCCCAAAUUCCCUCUUUUUACCUCAAAUAUCUCAUUUUCACCCCAAAAUCUUUACCCUUCUCUUCCAAAUAACCACUCGGCACCUCAAAACCUCCUUUUUCGCCUCAAAAUGACCCUUUUUUUCAUUUAAAACCCCCCAUUUUGGCCUCAAAUCCCCCCUUUUCACCUCAAACCACCUCAUUUUUGCCCAAAUCCUCCCUUUUUUACCUCAGAAUCUCCCAUUUUACCUCAAAAUAUCCUUAUUUUACCUCAAAAUCUCUCAUUUUUACCUCAGAAUUCCCUCUUUUCACCUCAAAUCUCCACUUUCUACCUCAAAUCUCCACUUUUUACCUCAAAUCCCCCCUUUUCACCCCCAAAUCUCCCCCUUUUUACCUCACAAUCCCCCACUUUUACCCCCAAAUCUCCCACUUUUCCCUCAAAUACCCCCAUUUUACCUCAAGAUCUCCCACUUUUACCUCACAAUCUUCCACUUUUACCUCACGAUUCCCCACUUUUACCCCAAAAUCUCCCACUUUUACCCUAAAUACCCCCAUUUUACCUCACAAUCUCCCACUUUCACCCCAAAAUCUCCCACUUUUACCCCAAAAUCUCCCACUUUUACCCCAAAAUCUCCCACUUUUACCCCAAAUACCCCCCCCUUUCACCUCACAAUCUUCCACUUUUACCUCACGAUUUCCCUCAUCUACCCCAAAAAUUCCCACUUUUACCCCAAAAUCUCUCACUUUUACCCCAAAUACCCCCUUUUUACCUCAUGAUCUCCCACUUUUACCCCCAAAUCUCCCUCUUUUACUCCAAAUUCCCCCUUUUUACUUCACAAUCCCCCACUUUUACCUCAAAUACCCCUCUUACCUCACUAUCUCCCACUUUUACACCCAAAUCUCCCACUUUUACCCCAAAAUCUCCCACUUUUACCCCAAAUACCCCCAUUUUACCUCACGAUCUCCCACUUUUACCCCCAAAUUUCCCACUUUUACCCCCAAAUCUCCCACUUUUACCUCAUUAUCUCCCACUUUUACCUCACAAUCUCCCACUUUUACCUCAUUAUCUCCACUUUUACCUCACGAUCUCCCACUUUUACCUCAAAUACCCCCUUUUUACCUCACAAUCUCCCACUUUUACCUCAAAUUCUCCCUUUAUACCUCACAAUCUCCCACUUUUACCCCCAAACCUCCCACUUUUCCCUCAUUAUCCCCACUUUUACCUCACAAUCUCCCACUUUUACCCCCAAAUCUCCCACUUUUACCCCCAAAUCUCCCACUUUACCCUCACGAUCUCCCCCUUUCCCCCCCGAUCCCCCCCCAACUCCUCACCUCCCGAUCCUUGGCUUUAAACACGACUCCGUGCGCUCCCUCCCCGACUCUGCCGAGGAUGAGGUACCGCUCCAUCCCGUUCCCCGCCGGCAGCGCCAUACUGACUCCGGAAGCACUAAUGUUAAUGGUGGGGGGAGGAAGGAGGGUCCUCCCGCAUCCCACAAUGCCCCGCGCUCGGCCCCUCUAUCCCCACUCCGCGCUCCCGUUGCCUGGCAACAGCACUUCCCGCCUCUAUACCACUCCCCUAGCAACAGAGCCCCGCCCCUUAACAACCGCAUCGCGAUUGGCUGAGAGCAGCGCGCGGGGUGGCGGAGAGGACGCUGAUUGGCUGAUUGGUAGCUCCGCCCCUUUCUCCUCAGGCCGGCGCCGCUCGGUCCCCUCAGUGAGGUGCGGGCCGGGGGCUCCGCUCGGUCGUGGGGCCU